GACGUAGGAGACGAGCGUUGUCCGGAUUUACUGGGCGUAAAGGGCGCGCAGGCGGUCGCGCGCGUCGGGCGUGAAAGCCCCCGGCUCAACCGGGGCGGGUCGUCCGAGACGGCGUGACUGGAGGGCGGCAGAGGCUGGUGGAAUUCCCGGUGUAGUGGUGAAAUGCGUAGAGAUCGGGAGGAACACCCGUGGCGAAGGCGGCCAGCUGGGCCGACCCUGACGCUGAGGCGCGAAGGCGCGGGGAGCGAACGGG
rnacentral:rRNA from 1 species